rnacentral:rRNA from 1 species
UACGGAGGGAGCGAGGGGUGUUCGGAAGUACUGGGCGUAAAGCGUGCGCAGGCGGCUUGGCAAGUCAGAAGUGAAAUCCCAGGGCUUAACCUUGGAAUUGCUUUUGAAACUGCUAGGCUAGAGUAUCGGAGAGGUUGGCGGAAUUCCCAGUGUAGAGGUGAAAUUCGUAGAUAUUGGGAGGAACACCAGUGGCGUAAGCGGCCAACUAGAUGAGUACUGACGCUCAGGCACGAAAGUGUGGGGAUCAAAUAGG